rnacentral:rRNA from 1 species
UGGGGAAUCUUGCACAAUGGGGGAAACCCUGAUGCAGCGACGCCGCGUGAACGAUGAAGCCCUUCGGGGUGUAAAGUUCUUUCGACAGGAACGAUAAUGACGGUACCUGGAGAAGAAGCUGCGGCUAACUACGUGCCAGCAGCCGCGGUAAUACGUAGGCAGCGAGCGUUGUUCGGAGUUACUGGGCGUAAAGAGUGCGUAGGCGGCGAGCCAAGUUUGGUGUGAAAUCUCCCGGCUUAACCGGGAGGGUGCGCCGAAAACUGGUUGGCUGGAGUAUGGGAGAGGAAAGCGGAAUUCCUGGUGUAGCGGUGAAAUGCGUAGAUAUCAGGAGGAACACCUGCGGUGUAGACGGCUUUCUGGACCAAAACUGACGCUGAGGCACGAAAGCGUGGGUAGCAAAC